rnacentral:rRNA from 1 species
AUUGAACGCUGGCGGCAGGCCUAACACAUGCAAGUCGAGCGGUUGACGGGAGCUUGCUCCCUGAUUCAGCGGCGGACGGGUGAGUAAUGCCUAGGAAUCUGCCUAUUAGUGGGGGACAACGUUUCGAAAGGAACGUUAAUACCGCGUACGUCCUACGAGAGAAAGCAGGGGACCUUCGGGCCUUGCGCUCAUAGGUGAGCCUAGGUCGGAGUAGCUUGUUGGUGGGGUAAUGGCUCACCAAGGCGACGAUCCGUAACUGGUCUGAGAGGAUGAUCAGUCACACUGGAACUGAGACACGGUCCAGACUCCUACGGGAGGCAGCAGUGGGGAAUAUUGGACAAUGGGCGAAAGCCUGAUCCAGCCAUGCCGCGUGUGUGAAGAAGGUCUUCGGAUUGUAAAGCACUUUAAGUUGGGAGGAAGGGUUGUAGAUUAAUACUCUGCAAUUUUGACGUUACCGACAGAAUAAGCACCGGCUAACUCUGUGCCAGCCGCCGCGGUAA